rnacentral:misc_RNA from 1 species
AUCGAGGAACACGACUUCCAAACAAAGCUUCGCAAUGUUGUUAAGUUCUUGAAAGAUGGCGACAAAGUAAAAUGCUCCGUUCGUUUCCGCGGACGUGAGAUUACACAUGCUGCUAUUGGUCAACGCGUGCUUGAGCGCGUAAAGACAGAAGUUCAAGAGCUAAGCGUUGUUGAACGUCAGCCAAAGCUUGAAGGUCGCAGCAUGAUUAUGAUUCUGGGACCGAAGACGGGACAAUAAGAAUCGGUCAUUAUCGACUAUAGAUGUUUCAUGAAUGGACGCCCGCCACGCUGUCUAGGUGGCGGCAA